CGGUACAGUCAACACAACGGCGUAUUGGGCCGAGUGCAUUCUUCCCGAUCGACAGGAGUUUACGACCCGAGGGCCUUCAUCCUCCACGCGGCGUUGCUUGUUCAGGGUUUCCCCCAUUGACAAAAAUUCCCCA
rnacentral:rRNA from 1 species